rnacentral:rRNA from 1 species
AAUCCAUAGGUUAAUGAGGCGAACCGGGGGAACUGAAACAUCUAAGUACCCCGAGGAAAAGAAAUCAACCGAGAUUCCCCCAGUAGCGGCGAGCGAACGGGGAGGAGCCCAGAGCCUGAAUCAGCAUGUGUGUUAGUGGAAGCGUCUGGAAAGGCGCGCGAUACAGGGUGACAGCCCCGUACACAAAAGCGCAUGUGCUGUGAGCUCGAUGAGUAGGGCGGGACACGUGGUAUCCUGUCUGAAUAUGGGGGGACCAUCCUCCAAGGCUAAAUACUCCUGACUGACCGAUAGUGAACCAGUACCGUGAGGGAAAGGCGAAAAGAACCCCGGCGAGGGGAGUGAAAAAGAACCUGAAACCGUGUACGUACAAGCAGUGGGAGCACAGGUUUACCUGUGUGACUGCGUACCUUUUGUAUAAUGGGUCA